GACGAACGCUGGCGGCGUGCUUAACACAUGCAAGUCGAACGAUGAAGCCAGCUUGCUGGUGGAUUAGUGGCGAACGGGUGAGUAACACGUGGGUAACCUGCCCUCAGCUUUGGGAUAACUCCAAGAAAUUGGGGCUAAUACCGGAUAUGACUGCUCAUCGCAUGGUGGGUGGUGGAAAGUUUUUCGGCUGGGGAUGGGCCCGCGGCCUAUCAGCUUGUUGGUGGGGUGAUGGCCUACCAAGGCGACGACGGGUAGCCGGCCUGAGAGGGUGACCGGCCACACUGGGACUGAGACACGGCCCAGACUCCUACGGGAGGCAGCAGUGGGGAAUAUUGCGCAAUGGGCGGAAGCCUGACGCAGCGACGCCGCGUGGGGGAUGACGGCCUUCGGGUUGUAAACCUCUUUCAGCAGGGACGAAGCGGAAGUGACGGUACCUGCAGAAGAAGCACCGGCCAACUACGUGCCAGCCGCCGCGGUAACAC
rnacentral:rRNA from 1 species